GUUUGUUUUUGAUUUACAGGGUACUCAAGAAAAAAAGUGUUUUUGAGAAAUUUCAAUCUCUUCUAAUGCCAAACCUCUAGUGAGAGUGCUUAAUAUAUUCUUGGAUGCAUGAAGAUUAAGAGGUGAAUGAAGGUGGCAACAUAAAUCAUCAGGCAAAUAUUUAUAUUCAUUGCAAAAUUUUGUACAUUAUUUCUGAUCACUGUUACAAGCAAGCCUCACAUUGGCUAGUUUUUUCCUUCAAUUUUUGGUUAUUGUACAAGACUUAAUGUAUUGCAGUUGCUAUUAAUUGAUUAGUAUAAAUGUGUAUUUUGCAAUUUAUUU